UUAGGAAUUUUCCGCAAUGGGCGAAAGCCUGACGGAGCAACGCCGCGUGGGUGAUGACGGCCUUCGGGUUGUAAAGCCCUGUCGGAGGGGAAGAAAGUAUGACGGUACCCUCCAAGAAAGCCCCGGCUAACUACGUGCCAGCAGCCGCGGUAAUACGUAGGGGGCAAGCGUUAUCCGGAUUUACUGGGCGUAAAGGGCGCUAAGGCGGCUAGCUAAGUUGGUGGUGAAAUUUCAGGGCUUAACCCUGAAACUGCCUCCAAUACUGGUUAGCUAGAGUGUGAGAGAGGAAGGUGGAAUUCCCGGUGUAGUAGUGAAAUGCGUAGAUAUCGGGAGGAACACCAGUGGCGAAGGCGGCCUUCUGGCUCACAACUGACGCUGUAACGCGAAAGCGUGGGGAGCGAACGG
rnacentral:rRNA from 1 species